rnacentral:rRNA from 1 species
UAGUGAGUUUGAUCCUGGCUCAGGGUGAACGCUGGCGGCGUGCCUAAGACAUGCAAGUCGAACGCAGUAGCUUGCUACUGAGUGGCGCACGGGUGAGUAACACGUAACUGACCUACCCCGUAGUCCCGCACAACGGUCCGAAAGGACCGCUAAUUCGGGGAUGUGAACCCGCACCGUGGUGCGUGUUUAAAGAUUCAUCGUCUAUGGGGAGUGGGGGUUGCGGCGCAUCAGCUCGUUGGUGA